AUUGAACGCUGGCGGCAGGCCUAACACAUGCAAGUCGAACGGUAGCACAGAGAGCUUGCUCUCGGGUGACGAGUGGCGGACGGGUGAGUAAUGUCUGGGAAACUGCCCGAUGGAGGGGGAUAACUACUGGAAACGGUAGCUAAUACCGCAUAAUGUCGCAAGACCAAAGAGGGGGACUUUCGGGCCUCUUGCCAUCGGAUGUGCCCAGAUGGGAUUAGCUAGUUGGUGAGGUAAUGGCUCACCAAGGCGACGAUCCCUAGCUGGUCUGAGAGGAUGACCAGCCACACUGGAACUGAGACACGGUCCAGACUCCUACGGGAGGCAGCAGUGGGGAAUAUUGCACAAUGGGCGCAAGCCUGAUGCAGCCAUGCCGCGUGUAUGAAGAAGGUCUUCGGGUUGUAAAGUACUUUCAGCGGGGAGGAAGGCAAUGCGGUUAAUAACCGUGUUGAUUGACGUUACCCGCAGAAGAAGCACCGGCUAACUCUGUG
rnacentral:rRNA from 1 species